AUGAUGAGCACAGGACAAUGAGUAUCAAAGUACUCUCAACUAAUUUUGGGAUCUAAGAGCAUAAAGACUUGCUGUGAAGAGUUGAAAUCCACAACAGUGGAAGAAAGUUGAAUGUGUUGGACUCUGAAAUAUAUUAUAAAGGUGGAAUAAAACAAUCCUGUAGCAUUAUGGAAGAUUGCGUUUAGAAAAAUUUAAGGAUGCAUCAUCAAGAACACACAUGUUGGAAGAUGCCAGAAGUCUGCAAUCUUAAUAUGACCCCUUUCAAAUUAUGUCAUGUGAAAGUGUCUUUAAUUACAAGAUCUCAUAAAAGUUUUGUCACAGUCCCUGCCUAAUUUAACACCCUGAAUGACUGACACGGACAACACGAGUAGUAAUUUGAUACUUACUUUAAUUUUCUUUUUUUGAGAUGCAACCCUCCCUUCUGCUUCCUUUGCAAGAUUCAAAACUAAUCCUGAAUGUAGAAAUACUGUUCUUGUCAGUGUAGAAAUACUUUCUAUGGUACUCAUGCCUAGUGUCCUAGCUCUUCUUAGCUGUUUAUUAACUUAACUUCAGUGUGUUCCUUUGUUAAAGGAUGUCAUUAUCCCUGUUUACAGAUGGAAGAACUAAUGUAAAGAAAGAAUAUUGUUAAGAUUUCCAAACAUGCCUAAAACAAGGUGAAGAUCUGGCAUCAACACUGGUGAGUCCCAUAGCAGGAGAAGGAAGGUAGAAGAAACAGACCCGACAUGACCUGAUGACCUGGAAGUUACACUGGACAAGGUGCUAAGAACCUACUGGAGAUGACUCUGUGGGAGAAAGAAGCAACAGGGUCAAAGUCACAGACCACUGUGGACUGAUAUUCUUCAGCAGCCCCUGUGCCAGCCCUGCAUGUGAUGUAGCACAAGAAUAUGAUGCAUAUGAUUAAUACUGAAACCACAUUUAAAAGCUGCAUUUUGUUCAAGAGAUAUAAGCUUUUCAUCCUUGCUGUAGAGAUGUUCCUGUUGGUUACGAUUUCCCAGGCAGUGAAAGACCAGUGGCGAACUGCCAAUUGCCACGUCAGAGCCCCAUGCCGUUUCAGCCCUCCAGCUUCUGAACUCACCGUAACCCACACGCAGUGCUCUGUGGAGGUGGACCACACAGCUGAUGUGAUGA